GAUGAACGCUGGCGGCGUGCCUAAUACAUGCAAGUCGAGCGGACGGACGAGAAUCUUGCUGCUCUGAUGUUAGCGGCGGACGGGUGAGUAACACGUGGAUAACCUACCUAUUAGACUUGGAUAACUUCGGGAAACCGGAGCUAAUACCGGGUAAUAUUUUGAACCGCAUGGUUCAAAAGUGAUAUACGGUCUUGCUGUCACUUCUAGAUAGCUCCGCGCUGCAUUAGCUAGUUGGUAAGGUAACGGCUUACCAAGGCAACGAUGCAUAGCCGACCUGAGAGGGUGAACGGCCACUCUGGAACUGAGACACGGUCCAGACUCCUACGGGAGGCAGCAGUAGGGAAUCUUCCGCAAUGGGCGAAAGCCUGACGGAGCAACGCCGCGUGAGUGAUGAAGGUCUUCGGAUCGUAAAACUCUGUUAUUAGGGAAGAACAUAUGUGUAAGUAACUGUGCACAUCUUGACGGUACCUAAUCAGAAAGCCACGGCUAACUACGUG
rnacentral:rRNA from 1 species